AACCAUGGCACGAGAACUACGUGAUGCAUGCACAAGCUUCAGUAGCUGAAACUUGCUACUGAUUUACUAAUUUAUAAUUAAUCUUCCCCCUUUUGGAUAUGAACUUUCUCCAACACUUAAGAGUGGGAGACUUGUCGCUGGAGUUCCAAGAUGGCCAGAUAGGAAGAGCUCCAGUCUACAGCUCCCAGUGUGAGCACUGCAGAAGAUGGGUGAUUUCUGCAUUUCCAACUGAGGUACCAGGUUCAUCUCACUGGGGCUUGUCAGACAGUGGGUGCAGCCCACAGAGUGUACGCCAAAGCAGGGUGGGGCAUCACCUCAUCUGGGAAGUGCAAGGGGUCAGGGAAUUCCCUUUCCUAGCCAAGGGAAGCCAUGACAGAUGGUACCUGGAAAAUCAGGACACUCCCACCCUACUACUGCGCUUUUCCAGUGGUCUUAGCAAAUGGCACACCAGGAGAUUAUAUCCUGCACCUGGUUCAGAGGGUCCCACGCCAACGGAUCAUCAGUUAUUGCUAGCAUAGCAGUCUGAUAUCCAACAGCAAGGUGGCAGCAAGGCUGGGGGAGGGGCAUCCACCAUUGCUGAGGCUUGAGCAGGUAAACAAAGUGGCUGGGAAGCUCGAACUGGGUGGAGCCCACUGCAGCUCAAGGAGGCCUUCCUGCCUCUGUAGACUCCACCUUGGGGGCAGGGCAUAGCUGAACAAAAGGCAGCAGAAACUUCUGCAGACUUAAACAUCCCUGUCUGACAGCUAUGAAGAGAGUAGUGCUUCUCCCAGCAUGGAGUUUGAGAUCUGAGAACAGACAGACUGCCUCCUCAAGUGGGUCCCUGACCCCCUAGUAGACUAACUGGGAGACACCUCCCAGUAGGGGCCGACUGACACCUCAUACAGCCAGGUGCCCAUCUGAGACGAAGCUUUCAGAGGAAGGAUCAGGCAGCAACAUUUGUUGUUCUUCAAUAUUUG
rnacentral:lncRNA from 1 species